rnacentral:misc_RNA from 1 species
UGGCUUUUCAACCAGAGGAAAACAUCACAUAAUGAUAAAAAGGGAAAGGACUCUAGCACUGGGAUAGAACUCAGAAGAGAGACUUUUUUUAUCAUUUUGAUGAUUGUGCUUUUGCUUUCCUGACAUAAAAAGAGGGGUCUCUGGAAUUUUAGUAGAAGAAACAAUAGUAGGAUAGCUAUAGAGCUUCCUAACUUGAAUUAAUGCAACCCAUCAUUACCCUUUUCUCAUAUGUCAUAUCCUAACUAAAAUUUAUACAAACUAAAAGCACAUUCUCCUAUGCCUCUCUCGAUAAGCAAAGUUGACAGCAGAAAAGAAUCUUAGCCAAGUGGCUUGCAGGUUAUAAGGGUUCCAACUUGCUCAAUGUCCACUUCUUGUUUACUCCACAGGAAUUGCUUGCUUGCUCAAAAGUAGUUUUCUUUUUUAUUAGUUGUUACCACCAAAUUUAUAUAUUCAUAAAUAAAUACACAUCCCUGAAAAUACCAAACAUAUUUCAUCUAAAAAUACCAAAAAGAAAAAUAGAAAAAGGUUACAAGGGAGUGAGUGAAAAAAAAAAAGAAAGAAAAACCUAAAGUGAAGAGACUGAGACACUAUUUUUACCCAUUACCAGCUCAGCAAUUCACAUUACCACACUCUCUCACUAGGGUUUGGUGAACUUGAAUUGGUCAUCUCAAUCUUGCCUGAGUUGAGAACGAGUUUUGAGUUAUGACUCAGUGAGCUACUACUUGUUUGUUGGCCAGCCUCCAGGCUGAGGUUGCAAUCAGCGGCCUAGUAUGCCAUCCCAGCAUCAAACACCCGUUGUUCUCUUCCACUCUAUACCCAUCUCCACCAGCAAAUAGGGCUAGUAACAUGCUUGCUUGUUUGAAGGCGUUUGACCCGAGAUGAACGGGAACAAAUCCGGAGGAACCCAGACGAGUUCGCCACUGAGUCAGAGUCUCGUGUCUUUCGAUUCGGUCCGGUCCUUCACAUGCCACAAUAUUGCAAAUCUGCUUCCCUAAAUACACCUCUGACAUCACCUUAUCUUGGGUACUCACCGAUCCCUCCAACGAGUCAAACAGAGUCGAGUAGUAAUGCAAUGAUUCAGUGAAGCGGUCCAAGAAAACCGAAUCAUUAUGGUUCGCUUCUUGCUCAACAAUGGUAACAAUCUCCGGUUUCAUCUGUUUCACCACCGAAAGGACCUUUUCAAUGGCGCCUGGCCUCGCUAACAGUUUAUGCAACUCGAAAACAGAGUUAACGGCGACGGACUCAAACUCACUGGGUCUGAGUUCAAGCAUAGAAGCGUCGAGAUCGGCUAGGCUAUUAGCUACAAAUCCCCGAUACUCAAACUCAACAUGAAUAGUCUCUGCCAACUGAGCUAAUUUCCAGCCCACUUCUUGAAGAUGAUCAGAGUUAUCAUGAGACGGCGGUCCAAUCCCCGUUAAGCGAAAAGCCGGCGGACCACCAGGUCUGAGCGCGAGAGCUUGCAACAAGGCAGGCCACUGCAUCCCUUGAUUCAUGGAAAAGUCGAUAACGUGCACUCGUUUUUUCCCUUCAAAGGCCUCAAGAAUUGCUUGAUUUGCUGUGAAGUGAGCGAAUUUGAGAUAAGGACAGGUUUCGUAAAAGUGCAUCUGUAGAAUAUCCGAGAGAGAAUGGUCCAUGGGACUUUGAGGAUAGAGUCCGUAAAUUCUGCGAGCCAAGGCCUCGGCGAAGUAGGUGGCGACUUUACGCAUAGCUCCGGCUUGAGAGAUGGCCAGGAAACCGAUUUGCUUGACGAGGGCUUCCGCGACAGUUAGAUUAUUUUCUUGGACGGCCUCGGCACAGGCCAUUAGGAGAUGAACUAGUCGGAUUCCGUUCUCUUGUGAGUCAACCAGGACUACAGAACAAGUUGACUCAGUUGAAACACCGAAGGAACCGGUAGCAGUAGGACCACCACCAAUAUUUGAAGACGAUGAUGAUGCAGCUGCUGCUGGGUAUAGGUGGUCUGUGGCUGUGGGUUUGAACCGCUUGGGAUCUCGAGAUGAGAAAGAGGAGGAAUCAAUUUGACGAGGUUGAGCAAAAACGGCCUUACCAGGAAUAGCUUUGAUAUCGUAAUCAGAAGAUGAAGAUUCUUGAAACACCACUCCACGACUGUGCUUGUUUGUUUUUUGGGGUUCUUGCCGUUGCUGUUGAUGGGUAUGGUCGGCGAAAUCGACAGAGGUGAUGGUGGAAGACUCGGGAGGAGCGAAAAAUGAAUCAUCUAAAGAAGAAGGCUGUGCAGCCACAACAAGAGGAUCAAAAUUGGGGUUUGGAUUGAGCUCAGAAAGCAUACUUUCCAGCCAUGUGGAUAGAUCAGAGGGAUUAUAAUGGACAGUUUCAGAAGCAAGAUGAGAAAGUCCAUCUUCUUGUACGUGACCCAUAACUUCUUCCAGCUGUUCAAGCUUUUGCGCGACUUCCGCCAUGUCUGAUGACCUUACCUUAUAACCCAAAACAGCCAAAAGCUCAUCCAUCCCACCAUCAACGUGGGCAUCGUCUUUCCACAUCUUGGCUUUGCAAGAAGCAUCAGUAUUGGUAUUAGCAGGUGGCAUGGUAGAGUAAACAGAAGAAGAACUGCCAGCCGAAGCUGGUUCUAACCGAGUAUGGAGAUUCGGGUGUUCCCUUUUCAUGAUUUGGAUCUCUCCUUCGUUUUGUUUUAGGAUAUGGGUUUCUGAGAUUGUGAGUGGUGGUGCUCAAAAACCAAAGGGAGCUUCUGCUGCGAAUGGGUAAGGCUAAGUGAGGAAUCUGUGCAUUGGGGAUUGGGGAUUUCUGCUUGAUUUUUCACCACUAAUCGC